rnacentral:rRNA from 1 species
AGCGAUAGGCCUAACACAUGCAAGUCGAGGGGCAGCACGGGUAGCAAUACCUGGUGGCGACCGGCGCAAGGGUGCGUAACGCGUGAGCAACAUGCCCUAUACAGGGGGAUAAUCCAGGGAAACUUGGUCUAAUAUCCCAUAGUAUUUAGAGGAGGCAUCUUCUAUAAAUUAAAGCUUCGGUGGUAUAGGAUUGGCUCGCGUGACAUUAGCUAGAUGGUGAGGUAACGGCUCACCAUGGCAAUGAUGUCUAGGGGUUCUGAGAGGAAGGCCCCCCACACUGGGACUGAGACACGGCCCAGACUCCUACGGGAGGCAGCAGUGAGGAAUAUUGGACAAUGGAUGGAAAUCUGAUCCAGCCAUGCCGCGUGCAGGAAGACAGCCCUAUGGGUUGUAAACUGCUUUUAUAUGGGAGCAAUAAGGUCUACGUGUAGACUGAUGAGAGUACCAUAUGAAUAAGCAUCGGCUAACUCCGUG